UUUGUAUGUGUGUUACUGAGGAGCCCAAAUUCUCAAGUGUAGGUGAGCUUUGCUCACCAUAGCAGGACCUGGUGAUGAAGGGUUGAGAAAAAGCAGCUGUCCCCCCAGUCCUGAGGCUCUCUCUAGCUUGUGCUGGCAUGUUGGGGGCUCCUGAAGGCAGUUCACAUUUUUGGUGAUUACUGGAGUAGAGUACGCUGUGGCCACACUCCCCCCCUGCCCUGCAUGUCUCCUGUGGCAGAGUGGAUAGCAGAACACCUUAUGCUAUACUUUUCAUGAUGACUCUCUGCUGGUUCUCCAGCUGUGCCAAGGAUAUGCUGGGCACCUCACUGAAUAAAUCAUUAGACAAGGCCUCUACCCAAAGCACCAAUCAUCUAGAAUGUAGACAUGAUGACAUUACCAAGGAGGGGAGCACAAUUGAGAGAGGAGGCAUGAACUUGACUCAUACAAUCUGGCAGAGCUUUCACUGUCCUACACCUCUGUGUGAACACUCCAUUCUGGGCUGUUGCAUUUUGACACUGUAUUAUCUCACAGGAUACCCACUCCUGAGGGUCUCAAGUUUCCAGUGUAAGACAGAACUUCCCUACUGCUUAAAUUUUUCUCAAGAAUGUUGAAUACCCAGCAGCUCCCACUAACUUCAGUGGAGGCUACCUGUUACAUUCUACUUUUGAAAAUCAGACCAGUUAAUCAGGAGUUUUCACUGGGUGGACCUGACCCAUAGCACCCCCACUGGCCAAUUGUGGCAUUGUAGGUGCUCCCUUCCUCAGUUCCCCUAAUGUUAUCAAUAAGUUAAUUGCAGCUUUACAUACAGAACAAUGCCCCUUCAGAGAAACCUACUUUAUUAACCAAAGGCCCAAUGAAAAUACAAGAAAACCUCCACCCCAGCAAAGGCCAGGUCUACACUAGCAAGCUUAUAGUGGCAUAGUUGUACCGAUGCAGUUGCGCCAAUGUAAGAUCACUUGUGUAGCCGCUCUAUGCCAAUAGGCGAGAGGUCUCCCAUCGACAUAAUAAAACCACCUCCACGAACAGCGGUAGCUAUGUCCACCACCCCUUAAGCUAGUGAAACUUAUGUUACUAUGUUUUUCCACGCCCGAGUGACAUAAGUUUUGCCAACUAUAAGUGGUAGUGUAGACAUGGCCUAAUAGAUGGGAGACAGAGCCAGCUUUAGUUUAUCAAUUCCCACCCAGGUCCACCACUCCCCUCCAGCAGGGUUCUUUCACCUCAGGUCCCUUCCUUGGAGUCAGGCCUCUUGCCAUAACCUGGAAAGAAUCCUUCUCCAGAGCCAGGGGUCUGCCGAGAUCCAUCAGCUGCAGCUUUCUGUGAGGCAGCAUGUAGUUUCUGAUAGGCUGGGCUUCCAGACAUUAUUUGGGAGUUCCUAGUCCCUAGGAACACACCUUCUAGGCAUCUUGCUCUGGUGAGUUCUCCUUGCACCUGAGCACCACUCCUCCGCAGCUUCCUAUGUCUAGAAACCACCUCAGCUGACCCCUCGUAACACUUUAUCAGGCUCAUUAGCUGCCAACCAGCCACCUCAGUUGGCUCAUUCUGCCUUACAAGAGCCUGUCACAGGUAGGCUGAUCCUUGACUCCCCUGAAAGGGCCAGCUCCCAUGACAAGAGCUAAGUAUGGAGUUAGGAGCCAGCUUUAGGCACCUAUUUUUGAAAUCUUGGUAUGAUGUUAUCUGAUUAAAAUAUGACCAUGUAGAUCAUUGUUGCUACCACUGUUAUAUAAUUGCAACAAAUCUUGUACAAAGGUUGUCAGGUAAGGUGUCUAUGGAAAGGCUAUGACUUGCUGAAUAUAAUUAUGCAUGUAUCAUUUUUGUAUUUGAAGUUAUAAGCAUUGGCUCUAUACCUAUAUUUCAAAUAUGUUAGCUCCUGUGGUAAUACCCACAAGGUAUUUAGCCUGCACAUCUAGAAGGUCUAUUCAAGUUAAGUGGCCCAUCAAAAGAACCCUUAGCUCACAAUGGAAGAUGCCCGUCUACACUGAAUGGACUUUCCUGUUCCAUCUGAAGUAUAGGUAAUGGCCUCUGCUAUGACUAAGUGAAAUCGUGCAUGGACAUGUGAUUUGCCCAUGUGACUCCAAACACCCUCUUGUUCCCUGUGAUUUUCCAUUGGCUGUGCUGAGGGUUUGUUUGAAAUGGAUUUCCCUCCACAUGGCAGAAACUAUAAAAGGCCCUGGAAACAUCUCCAUUUUGCCUCUUUCCUGCUCAGACCUCUGGACUAUGAACUUAUA